GGCCUCGCGCCCUGGGACGGCGUUGCUCCCCGCCGGCUGCCGUUAGGGCUGGAGGCCGGCGGGCCGCGGGGUCCGCGGGGGGCGCGCGGGGGCGCCUCUUGCCCUGGCUGCGCAGCGGCCUCCUCCGAGAGGCUGGCGCCGGGGCAGUGCCCGGCCUGUACCCAGCCGCCGCGCAGGGCGCUCGGGGCAACUGGCCGAGCCCUCGAGGCCUCCCGCCUGACUGAGGCGCCGGGGAAGCGCCGCCCACCUCGGCCCCGCGCCCUUGCGGGCCUGCGAGGUAUCCGCCAGCCCUCGCAGACAGAGGGGCGCCGGCCCCUGGUCCCCUAGACCUCCAUUGAAGGUCAAAACUUUGCCCAGCUCAGCCUUGCUCGACCCGGGGCAGGGAGGCGCGGACCUCGGCAGAGGGAGCCCGAGGCUCUCCGUGCUCUUCGCGCCGCUCCCCAAAGAUGGAUAACACUAACAUAUAGUCAGUGGGAAAGAAAUCUCAGAAAAUGUUCUUUGGUCACUUUAAUGGGAAAUGGGAAGGAAGAAAAACAGCACUUAUCAAGCAUCUUCUAUGUACAAACUGCCAUUUCAGACUCAGAGCAGUCCUUGAAGGUCAAGAACUAUGGAAUCUUUCAGAUGAUAUUCUGAUACUUCUGGACAAAGAUUGAAUUUGUUCUUCAUGAAAAAUGUCUGGGACCAUUAUAUGGACGAGGAAUACCAACAUACAGAUGGUCAAGAAAAUUUGCACUCCGACCUAAACCAAGCACGUUGUAUGGUAGUUGGAGAGCUAAAUGUGCGGAUUGGCUGAGUUGGCCAGCUAGAAUUAUUCAAUUAAAAAAAACAUUAAAAACAUCUCUGGAAACAUUGCUCCCAUCAAAUAUUAAAAUGAUAAAAUGUUAAA